AGAAAAGUAAGCUAAGUUUAAGCUAAUAGGUUCAUACCCUACAUAUGGGGUUACCCCUUUUUCUA
rnacentral:tRNA from 1 species